rnacentral:rRNA from 1 species
GACGAACGCUGGCGGCGUGCUUAACACAUGCAAGUCGAACGAAGUGGCGAACGGGUGAGUAAUACGUGGGUAACCUGCCCUCCUUUUUGGGGUAAUCCUUGUAAACGGCGUCUACUACUAAAUAAAGGGGCAUGGGCUCGGGGCUUAUCAGCUUGUUGGUGGGGGUAUGGCCUACCAAGGCCGUGACGGGUAGCCGGCCUGAGAGGGUGAUCGGCCACAUUGGGACUGAGACACGGCCCAGACUCCUACGGGAGGCAGCAGUAGGGGAUAUUGGACAAUGGGGGGAAGCCUGAUGGAGCGACGCCGCGUGGGGGAUGAAGGCUUUCGGGUUGUAAAGCUCUGUUGAUCGGGAAACGGUACCGGAAUAGAAAGCCACGGCUAACUACGUGCCAGCAGCCGCGGUAAUUC